rnacentral:piRNA from 1 species
UCCCAAAGCACAGAGAGGUUAAAUUAC